UUGUAAAUGAAUAAUUAAUAUUGGUGACACUGAGAUUUAGGAAUUUUUAGUUGACAGUACCUGGACUACUGAAUAGUCAUAGAAUACAAAUUAAAAAUGAGGGAAAAGUAAAAUUAUUAUUUUGAGAUAACAUAGGCAGUUAUAAAAAUACUUAUACAAUUUACUUCAUAAAAAGCUGCGAAGCUUUUUAAAAAUUCCUUUUCAUAAAUGCCCAUUUUCUUUUUAUUAUAAACCAAUCACUAUAUAUAUUUACGCUUGUUAGAUGUGUUAGACAUGCUUGACUAUGAUUUACAAAAUAAAAUUAAGUAAAAAAAAAGACCGCACACUUGUUUCUUGCAAAUUAUAACAUAAAUUUUGAAACUCUAACCCGGAAUAAACUCAUUUAUUUGAACUAUAUAAAGUGUAGUUUUAAUUGUUGAAUUUAGCUACUCUCAGUUUAGAAUAAUCAGGCUGUAUAUAGGGUGUUUGUAAUCUUGGAGAGGAUAUUUGAGUAGUAAAUAAAUCCAUGUGCAAAAACUAGGUUGGCGGAAAUAUUCUAUUGCUAAUAGAAUAUUUACUUUUUUUGAUACCUGCAGACUUACAUUGAUACGUUGAAAACCUUUUUGGAACUCUGUUUACAAAUGAUGGUACAUGUAUAUUUGGAAACUUGUAUACAAAAAAUGUGCAGUUAACUUGCAGUUUUCAUUAGUUUUAUCUUCAUACCAUUAAGGGGAGAAACCACAUUAGGAGGUCCAAAAAAUCAGAUUUUUUUUAAUUGUAUCAAUUGUUAGUAUAACUAUUUAAGAAUACGCUGCUAAAAUUUCAAAACGAAAUUCCGAUUCAUUCCAAUUUUAUGAGUUUAAAACCGAACACUCAUCGGGUACACAGCAGGUGUGGCGGAGCGCUUGUUCAGGUCAUUUGUUAAGCAAGAAAAGAACAGAUGCAAGCUCAGAAUGAUGCCUGUGAGGAAGAAAAAGGACUAUGCUGGAAUGGCUGAUUGAUCGAUCAUAAUUGCAGCCUCCACAUUUCCCGUAAACAACCAACUCGGACAACGAGCUUCGGUGGACAACAGCCCCAAACAUCGGAAUUUUCAACACAAGUGACAAGUGAUGUAGUUAAAAAUAUUAAUAAAAUAAUGUUAAAAGUUUGA